CACACUUGCCUGGUUCAUGUACAUGCUUUGCAAGCAUCCUGAGAUACAAGAAAAGGUUAGCCAAGACGUGAAGGAAGCCAUGAAGAGAAGAGAAGUUACUAACUUGACAGAGCUUGCAGCUGAAAUGAGGGAAGAAACUCUUGAAAAUAUGCAUUAUCUCCAUGCAGCAAUAACUGAGACUCUUAGACUCUAUCCUGCUGUUCCAGUGGUAAUGAAAGUCUCAUUCGAUUAUGGGUUAACCAGUUAUAAAUGUGAACCAGUUGAAACUGAUAAGUGGACAUGAAAAUUUCUGACCUUUUACGAGUUACUUCUUGCAGGAUGCAAAGUUCUGCUUAUCAGACGAUACCUUCCCAGAUGGAUUUGAUGUGAGGAAAGG
rnacentral:lncRNA from 1 species